rnacentral:rRNA from 1 species
GACGAACGCUGGCGGCGUGCUUAACACAUGCAAGUCGAACGAUGAAGAAAAGAAUUGAAGCUUCGGCAGAAAUUCAUUUCGGAUUAGUGGCAGACGGGUGAGUAACGCGUGAGCAACCUACCUCUUACAAAGGGAUAGCCUCGGGAAACCGGGAUUAAUACCAUAUAACAUUGCGACGAAGCAUUUCGAUGCAAUCAAAGCUACGGCGGUAAGAGAUGGGCUCGCGUCCCAUUAACCAGAUGGUGAGGUAACGGCUCACCAUAGUAACGAUGGGUAACCGGACUGAGAGGGUGAACGGUCACACUGGAACUGAGACACGGUCCAGACUCCUACGGGAGGCAGCAGUGGGGAAUAUUGCACAAUGGAGGGAACUCUGAUGCAGCGACGACGCGUGAGUGAUGAAGGAAUUCGUUUCGUAAAACUCUGUUCUAUGGGAAGAAAAGGACUGUACCAUAGGAGAAAGCUCCGGCUAAAUACGUG